rnacentral:rRNA from 1 species
GACGAACGCUGGCGGCGUGCUUAACACAUGCGAGUCGAACGGAAAGGCCCUGCUUUUGUGGGGUGCUCGAGUGGCGAACGGGUGAGUAACACGUGAGUAACCUGCCCUUGACUUUGGGAUAACUUCAGGAAACUGGGGCUAAUACCGGAUAGGAGCUCCUGCUGCAUGGUGGGGGUUGGAAAGUUUCGGCGGUUGGGGAUGGACUCGCGGCUUAUCAGCUUGUUGGUGGGGUAGUGGCUUACCAAGGCUUUGACGGGUAGCCGGCCUGAGAGGGUGACCGGCCACAUUGGGACUGACAUACGGCCCAGACUCCUACGGGAGGCAGCAGUGGGGAAUAUUGCACAAUGGGCGGAAGCCUGAUGCAGCAACGCCGCGUGCGGGAUGACGGCCUUCGGGUUGUAAACCGCUUUCGCCUGUGACGAAGCGUGAGUGACGGUAAUGGGUAAAGAAGCACCGGCUAACUACGUG